CCUUCGAUAGCUCAGUUGGUAGAGCGGAGGACUGUAGAUGUUAUUAACAGAGAUCCUUAGGUCGCUGGUUCGAAUCCGGCUCGAAGGA
rnacentral:tRNA from 1 species